rnacentral:rRNA from 1 species
AACGAACGCUGGCGGCAUGCCUAACACAUGCAAGUCGAACGAGACCUUCGGGUCUAGUGGCGCACGGGUGCGUAACGCGUGGGAACCUGCCCUUAGGUUCGGAAUACCUCCCCGAAAGGGGUGCUAAUACCGGAUAAUGUCUUCGGACCAAAGAUUUAUCGCCUUUGGAUGGGCCCGCGUUGGAUUAGCUAGUUGGUAGGGUAAAAGCCUACCAAGGCGACGAUCCAUAGCUGGUCGGAGAGGAUGAUCAGCCGCACUGGGACUGAGACACGGCCCAGACUCCUACGGGAGGCAGCAGUGGGGAAUAUUGGACGAUGGGCGAAAGCCUGAUCCAGCAAUGCCGCGUGAGUGAUGAAGGCCUUAGGGUUGUAAAGCUCUUUUACCCGGGAUGAUAAUGACGGUACCGGGAGAAUAAGCUCCGGCUAACUACGUG